GAUGAACGCUGGCGGCGUGCCUAAUACAUGCAAGUAGAGCGCACGGACGAGAAGCUUGCUUUUCUGAUGUUAUCGGCGGACGGGAGAGUAACACGUGGAUAACCUACCUAUAAGACUGGGAUAACUUCGGGAAACCGGAGCUAAUACCGGAUAAUAUUUUGAACCGCAUGGUUCAAAAGUGAAAGACGAUCUUGCUGUCACUUAUAGAUGGAUCCUCGUUGCAUUAGCUAGUUGGUAAGGUAACGGCUUACGAAGGCAACGAUGCAUAGCCGACCGGGGAGGGGGAUCGGCCACACUGGAACUGAGACACGGCCCAGACCCCUACGGGAGGCACAAGUAGGGAAUUUCCGGAAAGGGGGGAAAGCUUGACGGAGCAACGCGGCGUGAUUGAGGAGGUUUUUCGGUUCGUAAACCUCUGUUAUAAGGGAGGACGAGUUGUGUAAUUAACUGUUCACACUGUGACGGUAUCUAAUCAGAAAGCCACGGCUAACUACGUG
rnacentral:rRNA from 1 species